AAGUCGUAACAAGGUCCGGACUAGUAAUAACAGGCUCUUCGAGGGCUACCGCACAUCCAUGCGUAUAAGUUAAAGUUCACCAGGUGACAAGCUCUCGUAGCUACAGGGUGGUUAGGAGGAGUUCGGGGGGUUGAGGGAUAUUUAGCUAAAUUCUGUCGUCAUACGGAGUUUCAAUGAGUAUCUUUUUCCUUUCGGUCUCUUCUCGAGAUCUGCUUGGUAGUUUGCGCUUGAAGCCAUAUUUUACAAAACACCCCUUUUUAUUUCUACUGAAACUUGCAAUUCCUGCAGUGAGACUCGAGAGGGUCGAAUGUCAAGGGUGCAUUUUACGAAACAAACGAACAACUCUUAGCAACGGAUAUCUUGGUUCUC
rnacentral:misc_RNA from 1 species